UAGGGAAUCUUCGGCAAUGGACGAAAGUCUGACCGAGCAACGCCGCGUGAGUGAAGAAGGUUUUCGGAUCGUAAAACUCUGUUGUUAGAGAAGAACAAGGACGUUAGUAACUGAACGUCCCCUGACGGUAUCUAACCAGAAAGCCACGGCUAACUACGUGCCAGCAGCCGCGGUAAUACGUAGGUGGCAAGCGUUGUCCGGAUUUAUUGGGCGUAAAGCGAGCGCAGGCGGUUUCUUAAGUCUGAUGUGAAAGCCCCCGGCUCAACCGGGGAGGGUCAUUGGAAACUGGGAGACUUGAGUGCAGAAGAGGAGAGUGGAAUUCCAUGUGUAGCGGUGAAAUGCGUAGAUAUAUGGAAGAACACCAGUGGCGAAGGCGGCUCUCUAGUCUGUAACUGACGCUGAGGCUCGAAAGCGUGGGGAGCAAACAGG
rnacentral:rRNA from 1 species